AACGAACGCUGGCGGCAGGCUUAACACAUGCAAGUCGAACGCCCGUAGCAAUACGGGAGUGGCGGACGGGUGAGUAACGCGUGGGAACGUGCUCUGAGGUACGGAAUAACUGCGGGAAACUGCAGCUAAUACCGUAUGAGCCCCGCAAGGGGGAAAGAUUUAUCGCCUUAGGAGCGGCCCGCGUCGGAUUAGCUAGUUGGUGGGGUAACGGCUUACCAAGGCUCCGAUCCGUAGCUGGUCUGAGAGGACGAUCAGCCACACUGGGACUGAGACACGGCCCAGACUCCUACGGGAGGCAGCAGUGGGGAAUCUUGCGCAAUGGGGGCAACCCUGACGCAGCCAUGCCGCGUGAAUGAUGAAGGCCUUAGGGUUGUAAAGUUCUUUUGCCCGUGACGAUGAUGACGGUAACGGGAGAAUAAGCUCCGGCUAACUUCGUGCCAGCCGCCGCAGUAAAAC
rnacentral:rRNA from 1 species